rnacentral:rRNA from 1 species
GAGGAAUAAGCAUCGGCUAACUCCGUGCCAGCAGCCGCGGUAAUACGGGGGAUGCAAGCGUUAUCCGGAAUCAUUGGGCGUAAAGCGCCUGUAGGUUGUUUAUCAAGUCUGUUGUUAAAGACUAGGGCUUAACCCUAGAAAAGCAAUGGAAACUGAUAGACUAGAGUAUGGCAGGGGUAGAGGGAAUUUCUAGUGUAGCGGUGAAAUGCGUAGAUAUUAGAAAGAACACCGGUGGCGAAAGCGCUCUACUGGACCAUUACUGACACUCAGAGGCGAAAGCUAGGGUAGCAAAAGGGAUUAGAUACCCCUGUAGUCCUAGCCGUAAACGAUGGAUACUAGAUGUUGUGCUUCAUGUACAGUAUCCUAGCUAACGCGUUAAGUAUCCCGCCUGGGGAGUACGCUCGCAAGGGUGAAACUCAAAGGAAUUGACGGGGGCCCGCACAAGCGGUGGAGCAUGUGGUUUAAUUCGAUGCAACGCGAAGAACCUUACCAGGGCUUGACAUACUACAAAUUUUUUGUAAACAGAAAAGUGCCUUCGGGAAUGUAGAUACAGGUGGUGCAUGGCUGUCGUCAGCUCGUGUCGUGAGAUGUUGGGUUAAGUCCCGCAACGAGCGCAACCCUUAUUUUUAGUUACUAAUUCGUUAGGUUUUCUAGAAAGACUGCCGGUGACAAACCGGAGGAAGGUGAGGAUGACGUCAAGUCAGCAUGCCCCUUAUGCCCUGGGCUACACACGUGCUACAAUGGCUAAGACAAAGAGUCGCGAGCUCGCGAGAGUCAGCUAAUCUCAUAAACUUAGCCUAAGUUCAGAUUGUAGGCUGCAACUCGCCUACAUGAAG